rnacentral:rRNA from 1 species
GAUGAACGCUGGCGGCGUGCCUAAUACAUGCAAGUCGAGCGAAUGGAUUAAGAGCUUGCUCUUAUGAAGUUAGCGGCGGACGGGUGAGUAACACGUGGGUAACCUGCCCAUAAGACUGGGAUAACUCCGGGAAACCGGGGCUAAUACCGGAUAACAUUUUGAACCGCAUGGUUCGAAAUUGAAAGGCGGCUUCGGCUGUCACUAAUGGAUGGACCCGCGUCGCAUUAGCUAGUUGGUGAGGUAACGGCUCACCAAGGCAACGAUGCGUAGCCGACCUGAGAGGGUGAUCGGCCGCACUGGGACUGAGACACGGCCCAGACUCCUACGGGAGGCAGCAGUAGGGAAUCUUCCGCAAUGGACGAAAGUCUGACGGAGCAACGCCGCGUGAGUGAUGAAGGCUUUCGGGUCGUAAAACUCUGUUGUUAGGGAAGAACAAGUGCUAGUUGAAUAAGCUGGCACCUUGACGGUACCCAACCAGAAAGCCACGGCUAACUACGUGCCAGCAGCCGCCGUAA